GGAUUAGAUACCCUGGUAGUCCCUGCCGUAAACGAUGCAUACUUGGCGUAGUUGGUCUCAACCCCAACUGUGCCGUAGCUAACGCGUUAAGUAUGCCACCUGGAAAGUACGCCCGCAAGGGUGAAACCCAAAAGAAUUGACGGGGGCCCGCACAAGCAGUGGAGCAUGUGGUUUAAUUCGAUGCAACGCGAAGAACCUUACCCAGGCUUGACAUUUUGAGGACCGCAUCAGAAACGAUGUUUCCCGCAAGGGCCUCUUAACAGGUGCUGCAUGGCUGUCGUCAGCUCGUGCCG
rnacentral:rRNA from 1 species